CAAUAGCGUAUAUUAAAGUGGUUGCAGUUAAAAAGCUCGUAGUUGGAUUUCUGGUGGGAGCGAUCGGUCUGGCGCUUAGCGCGAGUACUUGCAUCGUCUCCGGCCAUCCUUGGGGAGAGUCUGUCUGGCAUUAAGUUGUCGGGCAGAGGAUCCUCAUCGUUUACUGUGAAAAAAUUAGAGUGUUCAAAGCAGGCUUAUGCCGUUGAAUAUAUUAGCAUGGAAUAAUAAGAUAGGACUUUGGUACUAUUUUGUUGGUUUGCGCACCAAAGUAAUGAUUAAUAGGGACAGUUGGGGGUAUUCGUAUUCCGUUGUCAGAGGUGAAAUUCUUGGAUUUACGGAAGACGAACUACUGCGAAAGCAUUUACCAAGGAUGUUUUCACUAA
rnacentral:rRNA from 1 species